UGCUGUCCCCCAGCUAUGCGUUGGUAUUUCUUGUCAUGACUGUGUAGGUAAAUACCAGUGUCAACAUGCUGGAGCCGAACCCUUUGAUCUUGCUUCCAGGUCUUCCCACUCCCUUCAAUCAUAACCCUGUGAAAAUGCAUAUCAACACAACACAUCAGCAAAUCUUACAAGCAUGGAAAUCACUGAGGCAUGCCAAGCCACCUCUUAUAAAUAAAUCAAUUUGCUUCUCACCUCCAGUGAUCACCAGUAUCGGAUUCAUUUUCUCCCCCAAAGCAGCUCACCUGCACCCACAUUCACGGCGGUUACACAAGCCACUUAAGAGGUAAACUAACUAGCUGAAAUAGUUUUUACACAAUGGUUCUACACUUAUUAUGUACAUAAAAGCAGAGUUUUAAAGGGAAUGGUUUAGAAACCUCUUGGUUGCUAGAUAUGGGGGAAGCAUGCAAAUGGCUGUGCAGCCAUUUCCUAGUCUUCAUGUGCUGCAACCUGAUGAUGGUCCCGCUCGGAAUGCUGUCACCUUGCCUGGCAGAUGUUUCGAGCUGAGGUCCAACAACCUACAAACCAACAACACCACACUAACUUCAUUAUCACCAAUGCAAUCGAAAAGCAUGAUACGUAAAUUGAACAAACUGUAGCGAAUACCGUACCCAGUAGCUGUUAGCAUCGUCGACAUUUGGAAACCCAGUGACAGACUGCUGGCCACUGCCAGAGCCAUACGGCACGUCGUGUGAGUGCAGCCGAAACUUGGUCCUCUCGUGCAUAAGCUUCAGCACACUUCCGUAUGUGAUCUGCUGAAUGCCGGUAUACAUUUAUCAAUCUCCGAUAAUCAGAUUCAGAUCAGAAUUAAAUGGGAGAGAAACAAACCUCGACGCCCUCAGCGGUGGGGGUGGUGGCGGCGUAGCCUGUAUCGAGAUCGAGGCCGAGGAAGAGGAAGACAGCAAGGCAGAGAAAGCCCACGGCCAUGGCGAAGAGCGAGGCUAUGAACCAGGUCUGUUGCCAAAAGGGGAACUGAGGCUCCGAAGCCCGGCUGGGAAUAGUGAAU
rnacentral:lncRNA from 1 species